GACGAACGCUGGCGGCGUGCUUAACACAUGCAAGUCGAACGGGCCUUGUCCCCUUUUUUUUGGGGGUGGGGUUAGUGGCGAACGGGUGAGUAACACGUGAGUAACCUGCCCCUCACUUCUGGAUAACCGCUUGAAAGGGUGGCUAAUACGGGGUGUUCUGGCCUGCUCGCAUGGGUGGGUUUGGAAAGAUUCGACCGGUUUUGGUUGUUUUGGUGGGGGAUGGGCUCGCGGCCUAUCAGCUUGUUGGUGGGGGGAUGGCCUGCCAAGGCUUUGACGGGUAGCCGGGCUGAGAGGGUGGGCGGUCACACUGGGACUGAGACACGGCCCAGACUCCUACGGGAGGCAGCAGUGGGGAAUAUUGCACAAUGGGCGCAAGCCUGAUGCAGCGACGCCGCGUGAGGGAUGGAGGCCUUCGGGUUGGGAACCUCUUUCGCCAGUGAAGAAGGUCCUGCUCUUUGUGGUGGGGUUGACGGUAGCUGGGUUAAUGAAGCGCCGGCUAACUACGUG
rnacentral:rRNA from 1 species